rnacentral:rRNA from 1 species
UGGGGAAUAUUGCACAAUGGGGGAAACCCUGAUGCAGCGACGCCGCGUGAGCGAUGAAGGCUUUCGAGUCGUAAAGCUCUGUCCUAUGGGAAGAUAAUGACGGUACCAUAGAAGAAAGCCCCGGCUAAUUACGUGCCAGCAGCCGCGGUAAUACGUAAGGGGCGAGCGUUGUCCGGAAUUAUUGGGCGUAAAGAGUGCGUAGGCGGCAAAUUAAGUCAGAUGUGAAAACUAAGGGCUCAACCCAUAGAUUGCAUCUGAAACUGAUAUGCUUGAGUCAAGGAGAGGAAAGUGGAAUUCCUGGUGUAGCGGUGGAAUGCGUAGGUAUUAGGAGGGAUACCGGUGGCGGAGGCGGCUUUCUGGACUUGAACUGACGCUGAGGCACGAAAGCGUGGGGGGCAAACAGG